rnacentral:rRNA from 2 species
UCCGUAGGUGAACCUGCGGAAGGAUCAUUCAUAAUAAGUGUUUUAUGGCACUUUUUAAAUCCAUAUCCACCUUGUGUGCAAUGUCAGUCGACCUUCUUCAUGGAGAUCGACCAAACAUCAACCUUUAUUUUUUAACUCUUUGUCUGAAAAAUAUUAUGAAUAAACAAUUCAAAAUACAACUUUCAACAACGGAUCUCUUGGCUCUCGCAUCGAUGAAGAACGCAGCGAAAUGCGAUACGUAAUGUGAAUUGCAGAAUUCAGUGAAUCAUCGAAUCUUUGAACGCAUAUUGCGCUCUUUGGUAUUCCGAAGAGCAUGCUUGUUUGAGUAUCAGUAAACACCUCAAAGCUUUUGGAUUUUUUAAUCGAAAAGCUUUGGACUUGAGCAAUCCCAACACCAAUCUUUUUGAGAUCGGUGGCGGGUUGCUUGAAAUGCAGGUGCAGCUGGACAUUCUCCUGAGCUAAAAGCAUAUUCAUUUAGUCCCGUCAAACGGAUUAUUACUUUUGCUGCAGCUAACAUAAAGGGAGUUUGACCGUAUUGGCUGACUGAUGCAGGAUUUCACAAGGGUCGGCAACGAUUCUUGUUAAACUCGAUCUCAAAUCAAGUAAGACUACCCGCUGAACUUAAGCAUAUCAAUAAGCGGAGGA